CCUCACUCAAGUGGAGCAGUGAGGAAGACACAGCGUGCCUACUCUCCCACUUCAACUGUUUCUCUCUACUUCCACAGACUCCUCAGAAGGAGCAGUACGGACUCUGCCAGUGAGACCAUGCUGAUGCAAAACACUACAGGUGGCCGCCAUCUUUAACCACUCUCUUGCCUGACCAGCUUGUGGACUAGAGAGCCAGAGACACUAAAAGCAUCUGAAACUCUUUUGUUGUGUGUUUACUCAUUACCGCUUGUGUAGUCGGGCACACCACACUCUUCCCAACAGACAGCAGGUGCAGGCUCUUAACUGGAAAAUGUAAAGAUCUCAAUUUAAGGUAUACAGACGAGGAGGCAUGCAAAGGUAUGUCUAUUGGUGUGUUAUGUACAACACAUUUCCCAUCCUCCUCCCUUACCUCUUCAAUGAAUAUACCAUAGGCCUCUACAUUAUGGACAAGACUUCACCCUCCCUACACCUCUGCAUUUCACAGAACCUGUUCAAUCACCAUGCACUGCAACAUCAUUCUGGCUAUGUAUACGGAGAACAUCAACACACCAGAGGAUAUACCCAUUAUACAUGGGGCUCUGCUGGGAGUUUACCUCAUAUUUAGAUUUUUUAAUUCUACUAUGCCACUAUAAUCCUAAUAAAC